GCCCAGGUGGUGGAAUUGGUAGACACGCAGGUCUCAGAAGCCUGUGCCUCACGGUGUGCGGGUUCGAGUCCCGCCUUGGGCACCA
rnacentral:tRNA from 7 species